UGGGGAAUCUUGGACAAUGGGGGCAACCCUGAUCCAGCCAUGCCGCGUGAGUGAUGAAGGCCUUAGGGUCGUAAAGCUCUUUCGCCUGUGAAGAUAAUGACGGUAGCAGGUAAAGAAACCCCGGCUAACUCCGUGCCAGCAGCCGCGGUAAUACGGAGGGGGUUAGCGUUGUUCGGAAUUACUGGGCGUAAAGCGCACGUAGGCGGACCAGAAAGUUGGGGGUGAAAUCCCGGGGGCUCAACCCCGGAACUGCCUCCAAAACUAUUGGUCUAGAGUUCGAGAGAGGUGAGUGGAAUUCCAAGUGUAGAGGUGAAAUUCGUAGAUAUUGGGAAGAACACCAGUGGCGAAGGCGGCUAUCUGGACCGAUACUGACGCUGAGGCGCGAAAGCGUGGGGAGCAAACAGGAUUAGAUACCCUGGUAGUCCACACCGUAAAACGAUGAAUGCCAGUCGUCGGGGUAGCAUGCUAUUCGGUGACACACCUAACGGAUUAAGCAUUCCGCCUGGGGAGUACGGUCGCAAGAUUAAAA
rnacentral:rRNA from 1 species